rnacentral:misc_RNA from 1 species
UGUAAAUUAGUUGUCUAUGGAAGGCUCUAUACAUCACAAUUAAAAAACCAGCACCAAGCUAUGGUCCUGCCAUAGAAGGGCUAUAUCAGCCAUAGCACAUAAACUGCACUCAAGUAUUGUCCUUGAAUAUAUGGAGUGCGAGUGACCAGGCUUUUCUACAUACCAAACAACUACAGAUGAGUAACUGAACUUCAACAGAAUGUUGAA